AACGAACGCUGGCGGCAGGCCUAACACAUGCAAGUCGAGCGCCCCCUUUAGAGCACAAAGACGGAGACGCGGUGUUGGAGAGAUCUGAUCGCUGGGUUUGGAGUUUUGUCUUCUGAUGGGGGAGCGGCGGACGGGUGAGUAACGCGUGGGAAUUUUCCUCAAGGUACGGAACAACUCAGGGAAACUUGGGCUAAUACCGUAUGAUGUCUAGCGACCAAAGAUUUAUCGCCUUGGGGAUAAGCCCGCGUCAGAUUAGGUAGUUGGUGGGGUAACGGCCUACCAAGCCUGCGAUCUGUAGCUGGUCUGAGAGGACGAUC
rnacentral:rRNA from 1 species